rnacentral:rRNA from 1 species
UAUCCGGAAUUAUUGGGCGUAAAGGGCUCGUAGGCGGUUCGUCGCGUCCGGUGUGAAAGUCCAUCGCUUAACGGUGGAUCCGCGCCGGGUACGGGCGGGCUUGAGUGCGGUAGGGGAGACUGGAAUUCCCGGUGUAACGGUGGAAUGUGUAGAUAUCGGGAAGAACACCAAUGGCGAAGCAGGUCUCUGGGCCGUUACUGACGCUGAGGACGAAAGCUGGGGAGCGAACAGGAUUAGAUACCCUGGUAGUCCACGCCGUAAACGGUGGAUGCUG